UGAACUUUAUUUAGGGGAUCUUUGGAUCAAAUGUAGAUUGAGCAAAUUGGUAUAGGACAAUUACAUUGGUCAACAACAAACUAUGCUCCUUUGCAACAGAUGGCUCUUUGGGAUGAACUUGUGGCAAUGGAUUAGGUCAAACAGUUGGCGUAAGCAACUAUGGACCGAAGCAACUGGUAAAGAUAUAUGACGGCUUAAAAGACCGAGGAGUUGCCUUAUGCUCAGCUCAGGUGCAAUUUUCUUUACUAAGCAUAGGCGACGAUUAAUUGGAGAUCAAGAAGACAUGUGGUUGCUUGGGCAUCCGCUUAAUCGCUUACAGUCCUUUAGGAUUGGGUAUGCUUAUAGGAAAAUACUCACCUUCCAAGUUUCCAUCUGGACCCUCGGUAAAUCAUUUUAUUUAUUUAUUUUUUUUUUAUUAUGAACAAGAAUAUGAUAACGUUAGUAAUUUGGAUUGAAGUCUUUUUGUUUGUUUAUCUUGGCUUGGUAUUGUACAUUUUUUGAUUAAAUUCGGCAUAGUGAUUGUUGCCAAUGGAUAGAUCCUAUCACACUGGAUGUGUUCUUGACAAUUGAAUGAGAAGCUUUGGAAGAAAUUUGAU